rnacentral:lncRNA from 1 species
UUUUCUUGCUCCUACUCUCCAGAUUGAUAACUAUCCAAUUCUCUAUUUAUGGCUGCUCCUCUGCUGAUCUUAUGUAACAAUUAAGUGGCCUCCCUGAGUGUUUUCUCCAUAAGAUCUCCUCCUGCACAUAUUUGAACAAACUCCCGGUAUUUUUCAGUUAGUGAGAAAUAAAAUGUAUGCAACAACACAUCACCUGAGAAUUCAAGCUUAGGUCCUUGUUCGAGUAGUCUGUUAAAUUUAUUCCAAGCUUGUUCUAUUCCUUCAUAUUCUCCUUGCACGAACAUG